UACGAAGGACCCGAGCGUUAUCCGGAUUUAUUGGGCUUAAAGGGUGCGUAGGCGGUUUUACAAGUCAGUGGUGAAAUCUCCCGGCUUAACCGGGAAACUGCCAUUGAAACUGUUUAUCUUGAGUACAUUUGAGGCGGGCGGAAUGUGUCAUGUAGAGGUGAAAUUCUUAGAUAUGACACAGAACACCAAUUGCGAAGGCAGCUCGCUAAACUGUAACUGACGCUGAGGCACGAAAGCGUGGGGAUCAAACAGG
rnacentral:rRNA from 1 species